rnacentral:tRNA from 1 species
GUCUCUAUAGUGUAAACUAACACAUUACAAUUUCAAAGUAAAAAUAUAUUUCUAUUAGGAAAU